GGCGUGUAUUUCGACUGAAACUAAUAGCUCCGCACCGUGAUAUGAAGCAAAAAAAGAAGAUGUGGUAUGAUUGCCAAUGAGACAACUCUCCACAAGAGACCAAAUGACACAGAAAUUAACAACUAUAGGUCACAGUUCAGCCUUCAACAAUGCCCAUCCUGCAUAGUCAGCUAUAAAAGGCCCCGCCCCAAAAUGACAAUGUAAAACAAUUCAACCUAGAAAACUAACGACCUUAUUUAUGUACAAAAAAUUAAUGAAAAACAAAUAUGCAAUACAUAAACAAACGACAACCACUGAAUUACAGGCUCCUGACUUCGGAAAGGCACACACAUACAGAAUAUGGCAGGGUUAACAUAUUACCAGGAUCCCAACCCUCCCCCUAAUCUGGGACAGUCGUGUAACAGUACAACAUAAGAACGAACUAUAAAAAUCAGUUGUAAAAGGCUUAACCCAUCAGAUAGAUAAAAUACAAAAAAGACAAGUGGACGUGGCUGGGUACUUAUACAUCCCACAACAAAGAGACACUGAUAAAAUUGGGAAAGGAAAUGGGGAAUGUGUCAAAGAGACAACAACACGACCA
rnacentral:lncRNA from 1 species